ACUAUUUUGGCAGAUAAUUGUAAUAAAUUUAGAAUUUAUUUAUAUAAUAUUAAUAUAUUAUAAAUAGUA
rnacentral:tRNA from 1 species